AGGCAUCUUCUUGUUUUUAAAAGACCUAGCAAUAGGUAUGCUUAGGGAGGAGCUUGCGUCACAUUAGUUAGUUGGUGGGGUAAAGGCCUACCAAGACUAUGAUGUGUAGCCGGGCUGAGAGGUUGAACGGCCACAUUGGGACUGAGACACGGCCCAAACUCCUACGGGAGGCAGCAGUAGGGAAUUUUCGGCAAUGGAGGAAACUCUGACCGAGCAACGCCGCGUGAACGAUGAAGUAUUUCGGUACGUAAAGUUCUUUUAUUAGGGAAGAAUAAAUGAUGGAAAAAUCAUUCUGACGGUACCUAAUGAAUAAGCCCCGGCUAACUAUGUGCCAGCAGCCGCGGUAAUACAUAGGGGGCAAGCGUUAUCCGGAAUUAUUGGGCGUAAAGGGUGCGUAGGCGGUUAAAUAAGUUUAUGGUCUAAGUGCAAUGCUCAACAUUGUGAUGCUAUAAAAACUGUUAAGCUAGAGUAAGAUAGAGGCAAGUGGAGUUCCAUGUGUAGUGGUAAAAUGCGUAAAUAUAUGGAGGAACACCAGUAGCGUAGGCGGCUUGCUGGGUCUUUACUGACGCUGAGGCACGAAAGCGUGGGGAGCAAACAGGAUUAGAUACCCUGGUAGUCCACGCCGUAAACGAUGAGUACUAAACGUUGGGUAAAACCAGUGUUGAAGUUAACACAUUAAGUACUCCGCCUGAGUAGUACGUACGCAAGUAUGAAACUUAAAGGAAUUGACGGGACUCCGCACAAGCGGUGGAUCAUGUUGUUUAAUUUGAAGGUACCCGAAAAACCUCACCAGGUCUUGACAUGCUUUUGCAAAGCUGUAGAAACACAGUGGAGGUUAUCAGUUGCACAGGUGGUGCAUGGUUGUCGUCAGCUCGUGUCGUGAGAUGUUGGGUUAAGUCCCGCAACGAGCGCAACCCUUAUUGUUAGUUACCAGCACGUAAUGGUGGGGACUUUAGCAAGACUGCCAGUGAUAAAUUGGAGGAAGGUGGGGACGACGUCAAAUCAUCAUGCCCCUUAUGACCUGGGCUACAAACGUGAUACAAUGGCUGUUACAAAGGGUAGCUGAAGCGCAAGUUUUUGGCGAAUCUCAAAAAAACAGUCUCAGUUCGGAUUGAAAUCUGCAACUCGACUUCAUGAAGUUGGAAUCGCUAGUAAUCGCGAAUCAGCAUGUC
rnacentral:rRNA from 1 species